ensembl:lncRNA
CAGCACCCCAGAUCUGCACCAGCAGGAAGAAGGUGGUGAAAGUUGUAAAGUCUGCUAGGACGGAUGUGGUCUCUGGUGCAGCCCCAGAGGAUCGUGGUAUAGCACCCAUGCAGCAAGAAUGUUUAUUGUGUGCCACAAAGUGGGACAGAAGAGAGAGAGAGAGCCGACGGGAAUGAAGAACAGCACAAGAGCAACCAGUAUGGAGCAUCAACUGAGGAUCACAGGGUUUGAUGGUUGCCUGGGUGGAAGUCAGUAUGGACGGAUGAUGACUGAGGACCAAAUACCCGCUCUCACACCCCAAACUCAGCCUUAUCUGUGAUCUCCUCGGGUGCCAGCUCCAAGUACAAAGACAGCAGCAGCAGUUCUGGACCCCUUGUUGAUGCCCAACAACAUCCAGGAGAAAAGGGACCAUCUUUCCCUGUACUUUCUUCUAAGAAAAAGAAACAUCUUCCAGAGCAUUUGGCAAAUUUCUCCCACACUGAGCCACAUGCUCGUUCCAAACCAAUCCCCAUCACUGGAAGAAUACAGGUUUGACUCAGACUAAUCAGGGCUCAUCUUUGACUGAGGUCAACUCUCCCAAUUGCCUGGCUACCACAAAAUGAGGGAUAGAAUGGACAUUGCAGAACAACCACAAUUACAGUCCUCCCCUUUACUGCCCAAUAUUCACACACACCCUCUGUGCUAUGUUACAAUCUCCGAAAAGCCAGUGCCUAAUAAGAUGCACACAUGCCCUCUUAAGGAAGUACCACCCAAACUUCACCCAAUCAUGUAUCCAGUGGCAAACCCAGGAUCUCUGGGAGGCGUACAAUCCAUCAAGUCAAUUACAUGCACCUGGAUUGAAAAGAAAUCAGGCAGGAAAUGAGGUGGUUGUUUCUUGUUCAUGCAUGAGCCUGGAACACUGAGUCUCAGUGCUCUCGUGUAUUAAAUGAGAAUAGUAAUGUCUGCUACGCAGGUUGUGAUGCUGAUUGAAAAUAAAAUAAAAAAUGACAAAAAUAAACCAAUAUGAGCUGUGCAUAUUCAAACCUCACCUGCUGAUCAUAGUAAAUGCAUUGCAUUUGCAGCUGAUAUGCCGAGAUCCUGGAGCUCAAAGUGAUACCCCUUUGAUUAGCACAAAGACCUGCUAUUUUCCCCUGGGGUAACCUCCUCCCCCUAGUUCCUCCUAGGAGUUUGAGUAUGUUCCACACAUAGUUAGAUCUGUCAUGCUGGCUGCAGUCCCACUGUUCUCCU